GGGUUGGUCAGGGGAGGGGUUAAUAUUUGUUUUGACAUAGAGAAGCCACAGCAGUUGACAGUGCUGGAGAGACUAAAAAACUGCUUUUUGUAUUUCAUCAGACAAUUUAGCUAACUACGUUGUGUAUCUGUGACAUCUCUGUGUGAAAUGGUGUGACUGAUCAUCAACUCGUGGAAGGAGGAGGGUAUGCAGAAGAAUGGACAGGUGGAGCCGGUGUUCAAACCCCUGGUAACGGAGCCGGAACCAGGCCUGAAGGUGGCAGAGUGUGCGUCUGGUGAAUGACGUUAGAGAGGGACGGAUAGAAAACAGGAGAGAGUGUGGAGGAAGGAAUGAGAGGAACAACUGUGUAAAAGAUGCACUGACUCAGUUGCAUUAUUAUCUGUAUUCUGUAAGACUAUAGCAGUAACCUCAUACGUUGUCCUAUAACAUGCUAUGGAGAGACGGACACUGCAUUAAUUUAUGCUUGCUCAUUUCAGGUCAGUAUGAGGAAUUACAUGUACUGCAUGUUUUCUCUGGCUCAGUAUGAAUUUGUAUGACACUGACCUUGCACAUACAGAUGCAUUCACCUGCUAGUACAACAGAUCACAUUUACUGUGGAAAAAUUAUUCACACAUUAGGUGCACACACACACACACACUCUUCCCCUCCCACUCCUCUCCUGUGGCCAGGUCUCUGUCCUCUAGGGUAGUUGAAGGUCAGAGUGAAAGAGUAACAAGCAGCAGCAGGCAACGAAGAGAAUGAUUGCCUGGACAUCAAUUCCCCACCAGAGGAAAUGCCCAGGCAGGAAGACAAAAACAAACCUUCUGCUGUUCAUAAAGAUAUAGCCUCUAUUUUUCACUGUAUUCUGGGAGAUGUGCAUUUUCAAUAAACAAAGUACCCUUGCCUCCA